UACGAAGGGGGCUAGCGUUGCUCGGAAUCACUGGGCGUAAAGGGUGCGUAGGCGGGUCUUUAAGUCAGGGGUGAAAUCCUGGAGCUCAACUCCAGAACUGCCUUUGAUACUGAGGAUCUUGAGUUCGGGAGAGGUGAGUGGAACUGCGAGUGUAGAGGUGAAAUUCGUAGAUAUUCGCAAGAACACCAGUGGGCGAAGGCGGCUCACUGGCCCGAUACUGACGCUGAGGCACGAAAGCGUGGGGAGCAAACAGG
rnacentral:rRNA from 1 species